rnacentral:lncRNA from 1 species
CGCGUCGGUAUUUUGCGGGCAACUAGCUCUUCCAGCUGCUGUAAAUUGCUGCUGCGGGAGAAACUGGAGCCGCUGUAGCCGGCGCGCCCUUCUUCCCCUACUGCGAGGAGCCACCGCCUCUUUCGCGCUCCUUAUACACCUAUCACUGGGAGCGGUGGCAGCAACGUUCCCUGGACCAACCGCCGCCUCUUCAGGCGGCCGCUUUGCCGGUCAUUCCCGAAGCCCGGCAACUGAGGGCGGCCCCCUUUCCUUAACAGUCUCCUCGCUACAGAUCGUCUGCUCCCUCAGCCUCGCCCGAGACCCACUUCCCCAGUCUCGCCCGGGUGGAGGUCGACGAGGAGGAGACAAGAGUCACCCUUCCUCCAGGCGGCGCCGGCCCCCUCACCCGCGGGUGUGUCCUAUAAAUGGCGUCGGAAAGCGACACCGAGGAAUUCUAUGAUGCCCCUGAAGAUGUGCACCUAGGGGGCGGCUACCCCGUGGGGUCUCCAGGAAAAGUUGGGCUUUCAACAUUCAAGGAAACAGAGAACACUGCAUACAAAGUUGGAAAUGAGUCCCCUGUACAAG